rnacentral:rRNA from 1 species
ACGAACGCUGGCGGCGUGCUUAACACCUGCAAGUCGCACGCUGAAGCUCAGCUUUUGUUGGGUGGAUGAGUGGCGAACGGGUGAGUAACACGUGAGUAACCUGCCUCCUUCUUUGGGAUAACGCCCGGAAACGGGUGCUAAUACUGGAUAUUCACUGGUCUUCGCAUGGGGGUUGGUGGAAAGGGUUUUUCUGGUGGGGGAUGGGCUCGCGGCCUAUCAGCUUGUUGGUGGGGUGAUGGCCUACCAAGGCUUUGACGGGUAGCCGGCCUGAGAGGGUGACCGGUCACAUUGGGACUGAGAUACGGCCCAGACUCCUACGGGAGGCAGCAGUGGGGAAUAUUGCACAAUGGGCGCAAGCCUGAUGCAGCGACGCCGCGUGAGGGAUGGGGGCCUUCGGGUUGUGAACCUCUUUCGCUAAUGGUCAAGCCGCAACAAUGGUUGUGGUGAGGGUAGUGGGUAAAGAAGCGCCGGCUAACUACGUG